rnacentral:rRNA from 1 species
GGGGGGGCAAGCGUUGUUCGGAAUUACUGGGCGUAAAGGGCGCGUAGGCGGUUUGCUAAGUUGGAUGUGAAAACUCUGGGCUUAACCCAGAGCCUGCAUCCAAAACUGGCAAGCUGGAGUUUUGGAGGGGGAAGCGGAAUUCCUGGUGUAGCAGUGAAAUGCGUAGAUAUCAGGAGGAACACCGGUGGCGAAGGCGGCUUCCUGGACAAAAACUGACGCUGAGGCGCGAAAGCUAGGGGAACAAACAGGAUUAGAUACCCUGGUAGUCCUAGCCCUAAACGAUGGAUACUUGCUGUGAGGGGGAUUGAAUCCCUUCGUGGCGAAGCUAACGCAUUAAGUAUCCCGCCUGGGGAGUACGGUCGCAAGGCUG